UACGUAGGGGGGCAAGCGUUUGUCCGGAAUCAUUGGGCGUAAAGAGCGUGUAGGCGGCCCGGUAAGUCCGCUGUGAAAGUCCAGGCUCAACCCUGGGAUGCCGGUGGAUACUGUCGGGCUCGAGUCCGGAAGAGGAGUGUGGAAUUCCAGGUGUAGCGGUGAAAUGCGCAGAUAUCAGGAGGAACACCGGUGGCGAAGGCGGUUCUCUGGGCAGUUACCUGACGCUGAGAGCUGAAACGUGUGGGAGCGAACAGG
rnacentral:rRNA from 1 species